rnacentral:rRNA from 1 species
AUUGAACGCUGGCGGCGUGCCUUACACAUGCAAGUCGAACGGUAACGCGAGGCAACCUGGCGACGAGUGGCGAACGGGUGCGUAAUAUAUCGGAACGUGCCCAGUAGUGGGGGAUAGCCCGGCGAAAGCCGGAUUAAUACCGCAUGAGACCUGAGGGUGAAAGCGGGGGAUCGCAAGACCUCGCGCUAUUGGAGCGGCCGAUAUCAGAUUAGCUAGUUGGUGGGGUAAAGGCCUACCACGUCAACGAUCUGUAGUUGGGCUGAGAGAACGCCCAGCCGAACUGGGACUGCGACACAGCGCAGAGUCCUACGGGAGGCAGCAGGGGGCAAUUUUGAAGAAGGGGCGCAAGCCUGAGCCAGCAAUGCCGCGUGCAGGAAGAAGGCCUUCGGGUUGUAAACUGCUUUUGUCAGGGAAGAAAUCUUCUGGGUUAAUACCUCGGGAGGAUGACGGUACCUGAAGAAUAAGCACCGGCUAACUACGUGCCAGCCGCCGCAGUAAUAC